rnacentral:tRNA from 1 species
GUGGGGUUGUGUCUCAAUGGUACAGCACUUGCCUGGCAUGUGUGAGGCCCUGGGUUCAAUCCUCAGCACCACA